CCUACGGGAGGCAGCAGUAGGGAAUCUUUCACAAUGGGCGAAAGCCUGAUGGAGCAACGCCGCGUGCAGGAUGAAGGCCUUCGGGUUGUAAACUGCUUUUAUAAGCGAGCAAUAUGAUGGUAACUUAUGAAUAAGGAUCGGCUAAAUACGUGCCAGCAGCCGCGGUCAUACGUAGGAUCCGAGCAUUAUCCGGAGUGACUGGGUGUAAAGAGUUGCGUAGGUGGCAUAAUAAGUAGCUGGUGAAAUCUGGUGGCGCAACCAUUCAGACUAUUAGCUAAACUGGUAAGCUCGAGACCGUUAGGGGUAACUGGAAUUUCUAGUGUAGGAGUGAAAUCCGUAGAUAUUAGAAGGAACACCAAUAGCGUAGGCAGGUUGCUGGGACGGUUCUGACACUAAGGCACGAAAGCGUAGGGAGCAAACGGGAUUAGAUACCCGGGUAGUC
rnacentral:rRNA from 1 species